UUUAAACAUAACACUCGUUAAUUCCACGUAAGCAAAAAUCAUCGUAAACACCACGUAAAAGGAAUCGUCGUAAACACCACGUAAAAUGAUUUAAACAUAACACUCAUUAAUUCCACGUAAGCAGAAAUCGUCGUAAAUACCAUGUAAGCAGAAAUCGUCGUAAAUACCUCGUAGUGUAAAAACUAGAAAAAAAGAAAAAGGAGAAAGAUACCAGAUUCACAUGUGGCAAGAGUUCCAGCAAUUAUAAUACGUAAGUCUCGCCCACAUGAAUUCUAAUAUCUUCUCCUUUUCCUUUUUUUUCAAAUAUUUAUAAUUUGAAUAGGAUUUUGCUGAGGAAUGUGAUUUGAGAUAGGGUGUGAUUUGGGAGUUUGUGUGUGGUUUGAGAAUGAGAGUUGUGGGUAUAUUUAUAGGAAAGCACGGCUCGUUAAUUCCACGUAAGCAAAAUCGUCGUUAAUACUUCGUAUAUAAAAACACGGGCCUUUGUAAUUCUUCGCUAUUUCCUCGUACAAAAAAACACGGGCCUUUAUAACUGCUCGCUAUUUCGUCGUAACCUUACGAGGAAUUUGCGACGAUAUGUAAUCUUAUAUAUACCCCCGAGCGCUCACUCUUUCUUUCCUCUCUACUUCCUCUCCAUUUCAUAGCAAUGGUAAGCCUCUCUAAUUCCUCUCUAUUUCGUAGCAAUGGUAAG
rnacentral:lncRNA from 1 species